AGUGACAAGAAAUAACAACUCUAGGAUUUCUUUAGAAGUGUAAUGAGGAUAAUUUACAAACUUACCGAAUGCAAUUGGAGGGCAAGUCUGGUGCCAGCAGCCGCGGUAAUUCCAGCUCCAAUAGCGUAUAUUAAAGUUGUUGCAGUUAAAAAGCUCGUAGUUGAAGUUCUGAUUGCUCAGGUUUCCAGCCUUAGGCGGAGAUACUGACAGUCAUCCGCUUGCAAACAUAUGUUCGAUCUUCACCGGUUGGCUAUGUGAGUAAGCACUUUACCUUGAGAAAAACAGAGUGUUCCAGGCAGGUUUGUCCGGGAUGCAUUAGCAUGGAAUAAUAGAACAUGACUGAAGUCGAUUUAUUGGUUUAAGGCUUUAGUAAUGAUUAAUAGGAACAGUCGGGGGCAUUCGUACUCAGCAGUCAGAGGUGAAAUUCUAAGAUUUGCUGAAGACGAACUAAUGCGAAAGCAUUUGCCAAGGAUGUUUUCAUUAAUCAAGAACGAAAGU
rnacentral:rRNA from 1 species